AAAUCGAUAGGACCGACUGGGUUCUGUGUUGGGCCUCGCCUGUGAGGGCGUCGCCUCGAAUGAAUCGGUCGAAUGAGCGGAUGAGAUCCAAUAGGACUGACCGUUCAGAGACCUUAAAUCUCUG
rnacentral:misc_RNA from 1 species